GUGCUUGUUUUGGAGGCACAUGUACUGAAAUUAGAACAGUACUGAGAUUAGCAUGGCCUCUGGACAAAGAUCACAUACAGAUCCCUGACAUGGUCCAUAUGUUU